AACAAUAUUUCUUGAAAGAUUUUACUUAGUGGCCAUCCUCGCUUUAAAUAGUAUCACUGGAAACUUUGUUUUUCUUUGUCCACUUCUGUUAUUUCUGUAUAAAUAGCGAAGUGGAAGAGCAGACUAAAUAGUAAAGCAGUUUAUUUUUAUGUAAACCACUACUAAGAAAUACACCAUGAAUUCUUUACAUCUCAAGUUGGCAUUCUUCGUAUUGACCUUCAUAUCAAUACAACUGUGUUCGAAUGAUCCACCUUUAGCUGAAGCCGGUAGAUGGUGGAAGAUUAUAAGAAGGGUUCUGAGACCCACGUGUGCAGGUUGUGCAGGAAUUUGUGAAAGAAAAGUGCCAGGACGUUGUCGAUGUAGAGUCGAUCAAGCAUGUAUGAGGCGGUACAGGGGACGUUAACUAUUUAUAUCAGAAACUUGUCAUUUAAUUGUAUAUACGUUUUUACAGUGCAUUUAUAUUUUUUAAUUAAAAAAUUCUCUAUACUGAA